rnacentral:rRNA from 1 species
UACAGAGACUGCAAGCGUUGUUCGGAUUCACUGGGCGUAAAGGGUGCGUAGGCGGUCGGGUAAGUCUGACGUGAAAUCUUCAAGCUCAACUUGGAAACUGCGUCGGAUACUAUUCGGCUAGAGGAAUGGAGGGGAGACUGGAAUACUUGGUGUAGCAGUGAAAUGCGUAGAUAUCAAGUGGAACACCAGUGGCGAAGGCGAGUCUCUGGACAUUUCCUGACGCUGAGGCACGAAAGCCAGGGGAGUAAACGGG